AGCUCUUCUUGCUGGGGGGUGAGUUUUGAUGUGGAAGGUGAGCUAUUCUUGCUGGGGGGUGAGUUUUGAUGUGGAAGGUGAGCUCUUCUUGCUGGGGGGUGAGUUUUGAUGUGGAAGGUGAGCUCUUCUUGCUGGGGGGGUGAGUUGUUGAUGUGGAAGGUGAGCUCUUCUUGCUGGGGGGUGAGUUGUUGAUGUGGAAGGUGAGCUCUUCUUGCUGGGGGGUGAGUUUUGAUGUGGAAGGUGAGCUUUUCUUGCUAGGGGGUGAGUUGUUGAUGUGGAAGGUGAGCUCUUCUUGCUGGGGGGGUGAGUUGUUGACCAUCGAUGUGGAAAGUGAGCUCUUCUUGCUGGGGGGUGAGUUGUUGAUGUGGAAGGUGAGCUCUUCUUGCUGGGGGGUGAGUUUUGAUGUGGAAGGUGAGCUCUUCUUGCUGGGGGGGUGAGUUGUUGAUGUGGAAGGUGAGCUCUUCUUGCUGGGGGGUGAGUUGUUGAUGUGGAAGAUGAGCUCUUCUUGCUGGGGGGCGAGUUUUGAUGUGGAAGGUGAGCUUUUCUUGCUGGGGGGUGAGUUGUUGAUGUGGAAGGUGAGCUCUUCUUGCUGGGGGGUGAGUUGUUGAUGUGGAAGGAGGGCUCUUCUUGCUGGGGGGUGAGUUGUUGAUGUGGAAGAUGAGCUCUUCUUGCUGGGGGGUGAGUUUUGAUGUGGAAGGUGAGCUCUUCUUGCUGGGGGGUGAGUUGUUGAUGUGGAAGGAGGGCUCUUCUUGCUGGGGGGUGAGUUGUUGAUGUGGAAGGUGAGCUCUUCUUGCUGGGGGGGUGAGUUGUUGAUCUGGAAGGUGAGCUCUUCUUGCUGGGGGGGUGAGUUUUGAUGUGGAAGGCAGUGUUUUCCAUUAGCAUCGGCAGUCAGCUAAUCAGCCGCGGAGUGGUGGCGCAUAGUAGGCUAUUUACUUAGGUAGCCACGUGGAGUGGUGGUGCAUAGUAGGCUAUUUACUUAGGCAACCACGUGGAGUGGUGGUGCAUAGUAGGCUAUUUACUUAGGUAGCCACGCGGAGUGGUGGCGCAUAGUAGGCUAUUUACUUAGGUAGCCACGUGGAGUGGUGGUGCAUAGUAGGCUAUUUACUUAGGUAGCCACGUGGAGUGGUGGUGCAUAGUAGGCUAUUUACUUAGCCAGCCACGCGGAGUGGUGGUGCAUAGUAGGCUAUUUACUUAGCCAGCCACGCGGAGUGGUGGUGCAUAGUAGGCUAUUUACUUAGGUAGCCACGCGGAGUGGUGGUGCAUAGUAGGCUAUUUACUUAGCCAGCCACGCGGAGUGGUGGUGCAUAGUAGGCUAUUUACUUAGCCAGCCACGCGGAGUGGUGGUGCAUAGUAGGCUAUUUACUUAGCCAGCCACGCGGAGUGGUGGUGCAUAGUAGGCUAUUUACUUAGCCAGCCACGCGGAGUGGCGGCGCAUAGUAGGCUAUUUACUUAGGUAGCCACGUGGAGUGGUGGUGCAUAGUAGGCUAUUUACUUAGGUAGCCACGUGGAGUGGUGGUGCAUAGUAGGCUAUUUACUUAGGUAGCCACGUGGAGUGGUGGUGCAUAGUAGGCUAUUUACUUAGGCAACCACGUGGAGUGGUGGUGCAUAGUAGGCUAUUUACUUAGGUAGCCACGUGGAGUGGUGGUGCAUAGUAGGCUAUUUACUUAGCCAGCCACGCGGAGUGGUGGUGCAUAGUAGGCUAUUUACUUAGGUAGCCACGUGGAGUGGUGGUGCAUAGUAGGCUAUUUACUUAGCCAGCCACGCGGAGUGGUGGUGCAUAGUAGGCUAUUUACUUAGGUAGCCACGUGGAGUGGUGGUGCAUAGUAGGCUAUUUACUUAGCCAGCCACGCGGAGUGGCGGCGCAUAGUAGGCUAUUUACUUAGGUAGCCACGUGGAGUGGUGGUGCAUAGUAGGCUAUUUACUUAGGUAGCUACACGGAGUGGUGGUGCAUAGUAGGCUAUUUACUUAGCCAGCCACUCGGAGUGGUGGUGCAUAGUAGGCUAUUUACUUAGCCAGCCACGUGGAGUGGUGGUGCAUAGUAGGCUAUUUACUUAGCCAGCCACGCGGAGUGGCGGCGCAUAGUAGGCUAUUUACUUAGGUAGCCACGCGGAGUGGUAGGCUAUUUACUUAGGUAGCCACGUGGAGUGGUGGUGCAUAGUAGGCUAUUUACUUAGGUAGCCACGCGGAGUGGUAGGCUAUUUACUUAGGUAGCCACGUGGAGUGGUGGUGCAUAGUAGGCUAUUUACUUAGGUAGCCGAUAGUGGGCGCUAGAUCUGCACGACUGUCUGAUUGAUUUGCAUUCCCAGUAAUACAUACACUGGUUUCCCCCGUGGACUGGCUCGCACAUAAAACGUCCUUCAUUCAGCCUGAAAAGUUGUCAUUUCCCUCCUUCACUAUCUUUAAUAGUCUUAAUAAACCCAAUUUUUUCCAUCACCAUUGGCUGAACGCGCUGUGCAACAUCGCUGGCUACUUUUUCUAUUUGGCAGGGUACUAUGUACUUGUGGAAAACACUGGGAAAGGUGGGCUGUUCUUGCUGGGGGGUGAGUUGUUGACCAUUAAUGUGGAAAGUGAGCUCUUCUUGCUGGGGGGUGCGUUGUUGACCAAUGAUGUGGAAGGUGGGCUCUUCUUGAUAUAUGGUGAGUUGUUGACCAAUGAUGUGUGUCUUGCUGAGACUGCCGGAGUUGUAGACGGAGGAGACAGGCUCAGUGAAUGCUACAUGGAUUCUGGUGAGUGGGAGAGGACAUAUUGCUGUGUAAAGAUGUGUUGAGUUGAGGUCUUGCUGGUGGCUUGGAGGCACUGGAGGUUGAAUAGAUUGUCAUCCAGCCAGAACUGCUUUAUUUACCCAACAUUCAUCUCUUCAUGGUACAGACGGCUCAAAGGCACUCAGCUCUGACAGAGCGGUGGAAUGGGCCUGGGUGUUAACUAGGUGAGCAGUGGACUGGGCCUGGGGGUUAACUAGGUGAGCAGUGGACUGGGCCUGGGGGUUAACUAGGUGAGCAGUGGACUGGGCCUGGGGGUUAACUAGGUGAGCAGUGGAAUGGGCCUGGGGGUUAACUAGGUGAGCAGUGGACUGGGCCUGGGGGUUAACUAGGUGAGCAGUGGACUGGGCCUGGGGGUUAACUAGGUGAGCAGUGGACUGGGCCUGGGGGUUAACUAGGUGAGCAGUGGACUGGGCCUCUCAUAGACAUCACACCACCCUGUGGUGAUAACCCCCUGCCCCUCAUAGACAUCACACCAGCCUGUGGUGAUAACCCCCUGCCCCUCAUAGACAUCACACCACCCUGUGGUGAUAACCCCCUGGCUCCUCAUAGACAUCACACCACCCUGUGGUGAUAACCCCCUGGCUCCUCAUAGACAUCACACCACUCUGUGGUGAUAACCCCCUGGCUCCUCAUAGACAUCACACCACCCUGUGGUGAUAACCCCCUGGCUCCUCAUAGACAUCACACCACCCUGUGGUGAUAACCCCCUGGCUCCUCAUAGACAUCACACCACCCUGUGGUGAUAACCCCCUGGCUCCUCAUAGACAUCACACCACCCUGUGGUGAUAACCCCCUGGCUCCUCAUAGACAUCACACCACCCUGUGGUGAUAACCCCCUGGCUCCUCAUAGACAUCACACCACCCUGUGGUGAUAACCCCCUGGCUCCUCAUAGACAUCACACCACCCUGUGGUGAUAACCCCCUGGCUCCUCAUAGACAUCACACCACCCUGUGGUGAUAACCACCUGGCUCCUCAUAGACAUCACACCACCCUGUGGUGAUAACCCCCUGGCUCCUCAAAGACAUCACACCACCCUGUGGUGAUAACCCCCUGGGCCUCAUAGACAUCACACCACCCUGUGGUGAUAACCCCCUGCUCCUCAUAGACAUCACACCACCCUGUGGUGAUAACCCCCUGCUCCUCAUAGACAUCACACCACCCUGUGGUGAUAACCACCUGGCUCCUCAUAGACAUCACACCACCCUGUGGUGAUAACCCCCUGGCUCCUCAUAGACAUCACACCACCCUGUGGUGAUAACCCCCUGGCUCCUCAUAGACAUCACACCACCCUGUGGUGAUAACCCCCUGGCUUCUCAUAGACAUCACACCACCCUGUGGUGAUAACCCCCUGGCUUCUCAUAGACAUCACACCACCCUGUGGUGAUAACCCCCUGGCUCCUCAUAGACAUCACACCACCCUGUGGUGAUAACCCCCUGGCUUCUCAUAGACAUCACACCACCCUGUGGUGAUAACCCCCUGCUCCUCAUAGACAUCACACCACCCUGUGGUGAUAACCCCCUGCUCCUCAUAGACAUCACACCACCCUGUGGUGAUAACCCCCUGGCUCCUCAUAGACAUCACACCACCCUGUGGUGAUAACCCCCUGGCUCCUCAUAGACAUCACACCACCCUGUAGUGAUAACCCCCUGGCUCCUCAUAGACAUCACACCACCCUGUGGUGAUAACCCCCUGGCUCCUCAUAGACAUCACACCACCCUGUGGUGAUAACCCCCUGGCUCCUCAUAGACAUCACACCACCCUGUAGUGAUAACCCCCUGGCUCCUCAUAGACAUCACACCACCCUGUGGUGAUAACCCCCUGGCUUCUCAUAGACAUCACUCAACAGCUGAACAGGGUGCUUUAUUGGUUAAUCAGUCCCUGACUCUUUCUCUCU